rnacentral:rRNA from 1 species
GACGAACGCUGGCGGCGUGCUUAACACAUGCAAGUCGAACGGAAAGGCCCUGCUUUUGUGGGGUGCUCGAGUGGCGAACGGGUGAGUAACACGUGAGUAACCUGCCCUUGACUUUGGGAUAACUUCAGGAAACUGGGGCUAAUGCCGGAUAGGAGCUCCUGCUGCAUGGUGGGGGUUGGAAAGUUUCGGCGGUUGGGGAUGGACUCGCGGCUUAUCAGCUUGUUGGUGGGGUAGUGGCUUACCAAGGCUUUGACGGGUAGCCGGCCUGAGAGGGUGACCGGCCACAUUGGGACUGAGAUACGGCCCAGACUCCUACGGGAGGCAGCAGUGGGGAAUAUUGCACAAUGGGCGGAAGCCUGAUGCAGCAACGCCGCGUGCGGGAUGACGGCCUUCGGGUUGUAAACCGCUUUCGCCUGUGACGAAGCGUGAGUGACGGUAGUGGGUAAAGAAGCACCGGCUAACUACGUG